AAAAUACCUCCCGGGGCUGGGGGCGGGCGGGGGCACGCCUCUCUGAAGGGCAGCCUACCGUGACCAAUAGCAGGCGGGGCUUUGGUGGGGCGGGAUUCCCAGCGGCCAAUCCGGAGGCGUGUAGGUGAAGGCCGGAGGAGGGAGGCAGAGAACGAGAAGGGGGCGGCCCGGGAGCCUGGGAGGUCCGGCCGCUCGGGUGCGCGCUGUGCGCGGCCUCCAUUUUGGAGUCGGGCAGCUGCGACGGAGGCCGGGUCCGGCCAGGGAAAGGAAGGAGCCAGUCAGCUCAACCUGCAUUGGAUUAGAUGGCUCCAUAUGAAGUAGCCUAUUAUCAGCCAUGUUUGGCUUCCAGAGAGGAUAAUCAUAGUGGAAACUGCAUUGCUGUCAGCAUGGUUUGGUGGAAAGAACAUGGAGAUCAGAUUCUGGAGUUCUGAAUUCAAAUCUCAACAGCACAAAACUGUGGGAAAGCCAUUUUCCCUCCCCGUAUCUUACUUUCUGAUUCAAUAAUAUUAAACUUGCAUAGUAUGUAAGGUGCAUGAAACAGCUUCUGCCUUCUUUGGGCUCACAGUUUACUUGAUAUAAAAGUCAUCUGGAAAACACUACUAUUCAAGGCAGAGCAUGAGGGUGCCACAGUUGCCUUUUUCUUUUUUAUUAAAUGGCAUUCUUUUUUUUUUUUUAAAGAGAGAGUGAGAAAGAGGGAGAGAAUUUUAAUAUUUAUUUUUUAGUAUUUGGCGGACACAACAUCUUUGUUUGUAUGUGGUGCUGAGGAUUGAACCCGGGCCGCACACAUGCCAGGCGAGCAUGCUACCGCUUGAGCCAUAUCCCCAGCCCUUAAACGGCAUUCUGAGCAAGAGAAAUUACUGCCUGUUGCAAUAAUCCAGAAGGCAAUAUACAAGAGAGGACAGUUGAGCUUGGGAUUAAAGAAUGAUUAAAUUUCAUUAAGCAGAGAAUUGGGGGAGGGCAGUUCAGCAGUUUAAGCAAGUAACAGGGUAGGAGCAAAGGUGCAGAGCUGGAAAACACAAUGCUAUUUUGGUAUGGUUGGACAGAUGGCUCAUGUGGGCGGCUGUGGGAGAUAAGACUAGAAGCCUGAUUUCCCAUGGCAUGUAGUAGGCAUUUUAAAGUUUAGUUUCU
rnacentral:lncRNA from 1 species